GGGGGGGGGGGGGGGGGGGGGGGGGGGGGCGGGGCGGGGGGGGGGGGGGGGCGGGGGGCUGGGUUCAGCGGCGGGGGGGUGAGUAGUGCCGAGGAAGCUGCCUGGUAGUGGGGGAUAGCGUCCGGAACCGGGCGCUACUACCGCAUACGUCCUGAGGGAGGAAGUGGGGGAUCUUCGGACCUCACGCUAUCGGAUGAGCCUAGGUCGGAUUAGAUAGUUGGGGGGGUAAAGGCCUACCAAGGCGACGAUCCGUAACUGGUCUGAGAGGAUGAUCAGUCACACUGGAACUGAGACACGGUCCAGACUCCUACGGGAGGCAGCAGUGGGGAAUAUUGGACAAUGGGCGAAAGCCUGAUCCAGCCAUGCCGCGUGUGUGAAGAAGGUCUUCGGAUUGUAAAGCACUUUAAGUUGGGAGGAAGGGCAGUAAGUUAAUACCUUGCUGUUUUGACGUUACCAACAGAAUAAGCACCGGCUAACUUCGUG
rnacentral:rRNA from 1 species